AAAGUCGUAACAAGGUUUCCGUAGGUGAACCUGCGGAAGGAUCAUUAUUGAAUUUUAAUGAAGAGUUUGGUUGUAGCUGGUCUAUUAAUUUGGGCAUGUGCACACCUUUCUCUUUCAUCCACACACACCUGUGAACCUGUGAGACAGAUGGGGAAUUUAUUUGUUGUUUUUUUGUAACAAAAAGACAAUAAAUUAUUGGACCCUCUGUCUACUUAAUUCAUAUAAACUCAAUCUAUUUUAAAAUGAAUGUAAUGGAUGUAACACAUCUAAUACUAAGUUUCAACAACGGAUCUCUUGGCUCUC
rnacentral:misc_RNA from 1 species